rnacentral:rRNA from 1 species
GGAAUAUUGGACAAUGGGGGAAACCCUGAUCCAGCAAUGCCGCGUGAGUGAAGAAGGCCUUAGGGUUGUAAAACUCUUUCAGUGGGGAAGAUAAUGACGGUACCCACAGAAGAAGCUCCGGCUAACUCCGUGCCAGCAGCCGCGGUAAUACGGAGGGAGCUAGCGUUGUUCGGAAUUACUGGGCAUAAAGCGCACGUAGGCGGAUCGGAAAGUUGGGGGUGAAAUCCCGGGGCUCAACCCCGGAACUGCCUCCAAAACUAUCGGUCUAGAGUUCGAGAGAGGUGAGUGGAAUUCCGAGUGUAGAGGUGAAAUUCGUAGAUAUUCGGAGGAACACCAGUGGCGAAGGCGGCUCACUGGCUCGAUACUGACGCUGAGGUGCGAAAGCGUGGGGAGCA